ACUCCUGCGGGAGGCAGCAGUGGGGAAUAUUGGACAAUGGGCGCAAGCCUGAUCCAGCCAUGCCGCGUGAGUGAUGAAGGCCCUAGGGUUGUAAAGCUCUUUCACCGGUGAAGAUAAUGACGGUAACCGGAGAAGAAGCCCCGGCUAACUUCGUGCCAGCAGCCGCGGUAAUACGAAGGGGGCUAGCGUUGUUCGGAUUUACUGGGCGUAAAGCGCACGUAGGCGGACUAUUAAGUCAGGGGUGAAAUCCCGGGGCUCAACCCCGGAACUGCCUUUGAUACUGGUAGUCUUGAGUUCGAGAGAGGUGAGUGGAAUUCCGAGUGUAGAGGUGAAAUUCGUAGAUAUUCGGAGGAACCCCAGUGGCGAAGGCGGCUCACUGGCUCGAUACUGACGCUGAGGUGCGAAAGCGUGGGGAGCAAACAGGAUUAGAUACCCGGGUAGUCCCAUG
rnacentral:rRNA from 1 species